AGGAUGAACGCUGGCGGCGUGCCUAACACAUGCAAGUCGAACGUCCUGUCUCGCAAGAGGCAGGGAGUGGCGGACGGGUGAGUACCACGUGGGUGAUCUACCGUGAGGUGAGGAAUACCGGCGAGAAAUCGCCGACAAGACCGCAUAGGCUCGAUGCAAGUCGAGCAAAGCUCUUUCGAGAGAGGGAGCGCCACACGAGGAGCCUGCGCCCGAUUAGCUAGCUGGUGGAGUAACGGUUCACCAGGGCGACGAUCGGUAGCUGGUCUGAGAGGACGAUCAGCCACACUGGGAUUGAGAACGGCCCAGACUCCUACGGGGGCAGCAGUGAGGAAUUUUCGUCAAUGGGGCAACCCUGAACGAGCAACGCCGCGUGCAGGAAGAAGGUUUUCGGAUCGUAAACUGCUUUUCUCGGGAAGAGAACGGACGGUACCCGAGGAAUCAGCCCGGCUAACUACGCGCCAGCAGCCGCGGU
rnacentral:rRNA from 1 species